UACGUAGGGUGCGAGCGUUAAUCGGAAUUACUGGGCGUAAAGUGUGCGCAGGCGGCCGAGCAAGUCGAGUGUGAAGCCCGAGCUUAACUUGGGAAUUGCGCUCGAAACUACUUGGCUGGAGUGUGGCAGAGGAAGGUGGAAUUCCAGGUGUAGCGGUGAAAUGCGUAGAUAUCGUGAGGAACACCAGAGGCGAAGGCGACUUACUGGACACAUAUUGACGCUGAGGUGCGAAAGCGUGGGGAGCAAACAGG
rnacentral:rRNA from 1 species